rnacentral:rRNA from 1 species
GCGGUGGAUCAUGUGUUUAAUUCGAUGAUACGCGAAGAACCUUACCAGGUCUUGACAUCCCCCGCGAUGCUUUAGAGAUAAAGCGGAGGUAUUCGGGGAGACAGGUGGUGCAUGGUUGUCGUCAGCUCGUGUCGUGAGAUGUUGGGUUAAGUCCCGCAACGAGCGCAACCCUAUUGCUAGUUACCAUCAUUAAGUUGGGGACUCUAGCGAGACUGCCAGUGAUAAACUGGAGGAAGGUGGGGAUGACGUCAAAUCAUCAUGCCCCUUAUGACCUGGGCUACAAACGUGAUACAAUGGCUGGAACAAAGGGAUGCGAAGCAGUGAUGUGGAGCGAAACCCAUAAAAACAGUCUCAGUUCGGAUUGAAGUCUGCAACUCGACUUCAUGAAGUCGGAAUCGCUAGUAAUCGCGGAUCAGAACGCCGCGGUGAAUACGUUCUCGGGGUUU